CACAGAACUUACAAGANCUUUGGUGCUUCGGGAACUGUGAGACAGGUGCUGCAUGNCUGUCGUCAGCUCGUGUUGUGAAAUGUUGGGUUAAGUCCCGCAACGAGCGCAACCUUAUUCUUUGGUUUGCCAGCGGUUUCGGCCGGGUAACUCAAAGGAGACUGCCAGUGAUAAACUGGAGGAAGGUGGGGAUGACGUCAAGUCAUCAUGGCCCUUACGACCAGGGCUACACACGUGCUACAAUGGCAUAUACAAAGAGAAGCGACCUCGCGAGAGCAAGCGGACCUCAUAAAGUAUGUCGUAGUCCGGAUUGGAGUCUGCAACUCGACUCCAUGAAGUCGGAAUCGCUAGUAAUCGUAGAUCAGAAUGCUACGGUAAUACGUUCCCGG
rnacentral:rRNA from 1 species